UAGUGAACUAUUGACUGCACAUAACAGCAAACCAUUGAAAUUCAACAAGUUUUUAGAAACCAUCAACUGUCAAACCCAUAUUAGUGUUUACCUGUAUUAUAAACCUGUUUUCAUAUUGUUUCAGUGGGUGGAGAGGUGGCAUUGAAACAGUUGAAGUGAUGGAGCGAGGUGUUCUCAAUCUGCAUCCAGCAGUCCAUGAUCUAAACAAGGAAGAUGUUCAGAGACUGUGGACUUUUGAAAGUGGCAGACAAAGCACUUGUGUCGCACAGAUGCAUCAAGGGAGAAUUUACACUCAUUAUGACAUGAGAUUCACAGGCAGAGUGCCGUUAGACCGACAAACAGGAAUAUUAAUCAUCACGGACAUCAGGACUAAUGAAUCUGGACUGUAUGAAGCCUUAAUCAUUACUAAUACACUCACCUCAGCACGCAUCUGUCUCUGUACCUGCCAUCAGCAGCAGCUCAUCAGUUAGUGUACACCAAUCUACAGGUACAUCACAGGAAAUGUGCUCUGUGUUCUGCUCUGUGAAAAAUGAUCGAGGCGUGUUCAUCUCGUGGUAUAAAGGAGGUGUAAUGUUGAACCAGACCAGCAAUCCUGAUCUCAGCAUCAACCUCAGUUUAGCAUUAGAGCUUCAUUAUAAUGAUCCAGAGACCUACAGCUGUACAGCUGUGAAUCCAGUGAACAAUAAGACUGUCCAUAUUCACAUGAAGGAGAUCUGCCCACGACAGGAAGUUUGUCUGGAUCACUGUGGUGUCUCUGAGGCUCUGGUCCUGUUUCUGAGGCUCUUGGUCCUGUCUUCCCACUGUUGGAUUUCUUAUCAAGCAUUUGGUCUUCUGCUCAGCUCAGAAAAGGACUGCUUCUUCUGUGUGCUGAUGAUACCUUUGUGAGAUCUGGUGUAAUUGCUUUCUCCCUUUUCACUCUAAAUAAAGUACCGGUAUUUUGGUUCUGUUGUAUUUUAUAACUGUGAACCAGUUUCUAUCUGACAAAAACAAAAAAUAAGCUAGAGUAUCACAUAUUUAGAAUACAGUAUAUUCUCUGAAAAAAAAUAAUAAUUUCUGUUAUAACGAGGAGGCCUUCUGUAAUCUGUUGUUUUGUUACUAGACAAUAUGCAAUUUUUAUAAUUGUAUGUUUUGUAUAUUUAUGUAUGGGGCUUUAGAAUGAACUAGUUAACAAAAAAUAGCAUUUUUGUCCUGUUUCAUGUUGUUAAUUAGCACACUUCACAUCUAAUGAUAAUUAGGAACACUUAAUAAGAUGCAAAUGUUUGCAUGUGUGUAUGUUUACCCUCUGCUGUACAUUACACUUCUACUGUACAUUACAAGAAUCAGUUUGGCCAACACACAAAACAUAGCCAAAACAUUUAAAAUUAAUUUUUUUUAAAAGUGUUUUAUUUUUUUUAUUUUUAUUUUUAUCUUUAAACUUUUUGUUUCUUCCAAUCCAUUCAAUUGACAAUUUUGCAUAUUCAGUUUUAACCUGUCCUGUAGGGCUGUGAAGACAUUUUGUUGUAGGAUUAUGCAGAUUUCAAAAAAUACACUGUGGUAAAUGUCUUAUUUGAGAGCAGUCUAACAAAAUCCAUAGUCUUAAGUAAUACUAUAAUUCAGAGAUCCUCAAAUCUGGCCCACGAGAUCCACUUUACUGCAGAGAUCAAACACACCUGAGCAUGCUAAUCAACGUCUUCAGGAUCAUUAGAAAAUCACAGGUAGGUCUAAACUCUGCAGCACAUUGGCCCUCCACAAGAUUUGAGGAACCCUGCUAUAACAUAUAAAUAUUUAAAAAUAACAAUUAAAUAAAUGCAUGUUAUUAACAGAAUGCAAAUAAAAUACAAUAUCUUGCAAUGCUAUAUUACAAUUUAUACAAUAUCAACAAUAAAUAGCUUAACAGUCAAUGAUCUAAUAUCUAAUAAAUGUUUUCAUACUAAUCAAAAAAGCUAUGAUAAAGUGAUUGACUCUUGUUUAUAAGCUGUCAGCAAGUUAGUGGCAAGAAAAUGUGCUGUAUGAAUACUUAAAUUUUUUUAAAAACAGCUACGAAUUAAUGUCAAAAUGAAAUUAGUGUGCUUUUUAUUUGGUUUUAUAGAAAUAUUAUUCUAUAUAUUAUACUAAAAGAGACCAAUUAUAUUGCAAUAUCAUGUUUGGCAACUUGACAAACAUGAAUUUAAUGUAAUUAGGAAAUAAAAAGUUAUCAUUUAGUGAUCUAUGAGAAUUUUCGGGAUAUUUCUAAAUUAAAGUAGGUAUUUUGAGUGUACAAUGGCAGGUGAAUCCUUGAAGAUGCUUAAAGCCCAAAUAAUCAUGCUAAAAGAGUCCUAAAGUAACAAACAGGUGGUAACAUUCCUCGGUCAGUGAAAUGACAUUUUGAUUCCUUACAGUCGACCCAUCUUGUCAUUCCAUUCAGCUUAGUCCUGCACUGGAUGAGCUUGCAGUAAUUCAGUCAUUAUAAUGAACUAUCACUUAGGCAUCUAUACCACCUGCAGGCUACAGUGUUUAUCUCUUGAGGCACUUAAUUAAAAGCUACCUGUAAGUCAACAGAAAAACACAAUUACAGGGUGCCAUGCAAACCUAGUGAAGCUAGUGAGUGUUCUCAGAUAUUAAAUGGAGUAUUUCAACAUAUUUUCCAAGUUAAAUAAUACAUUUCAAAUAUUUUGUUAUUUUGAUAUGUGAAUUGAACUUGAUACAUAUAUAAAAUUUGAAAAAAAAAAUGUUUCUUCUCAUUUUAGAAAAAAUAUACAUGAUGUAAAGUUUUCAUUGAUGUUUUUGAACUAACCAUCAUCAAAUUAGGUAAUAAGCUUUUGUUGUAAAUUAGAAGAAUUCCUUUUAAGAUGCAUGGCUAUUUUUAAUGUCGUCAUACUGUAAGUCAGAUUAAGAUUAAUUGCUCUGCGAUGAUACUUGCCUUCCUGUGUUUGCUAUAAACAAAACCAAUGACAGCAGCAAUGAUGAGCACUAAAAAGGAGCACUGCAGCUGAGCUUAUUCCUGCAGUGAAUGAUUCACUGUACACAGCAGAUGCUGGUUGUUCUGGGCUGAUGGUCCUGAGUGGAGGCUCUGUAAGAAACUACAAGAACAAAAACUGAUGACUACUUUACAUAACUGUAAUAAGUUUCCAUGGAUUUUCACACUUUAGGUUCAAAUGUACAUAUGCACAAGGGAAGAGUUCUAGGGGAAAAACUUGGAAAAAUUUAGAGAAAAGCAAUGUAAAAUAAUGUAAAAAAGGAAUUAUUUUAAUGUAAAUAAAUAAAAGGAAUAAUUAAAAUAUUAUAACCGAAAAAAAAAAAAAAAUUACUUAAAUAAAUGAACAUAUAAACAAUACAUCUAACAGCACAGUACUACAGGGAAUUGAAAACAAUGUUCUUGUAUAUCUUGUAAAUUUCAGGAUUGGGGUCCCUCACAUGAUGAUGAUCAUAUUUGGGUGUCCGUGGAAUUUAAAAGAUUAAAAACUGUUUAAAAUCACCCUAAUAACAAGAAGCUCAAGUGAGUUUGUGUUUAUUGUAAGCCCUCAAAAGUUAAAGAUGUUUGAUCACUGCAUACAGCAAUCCAGAUAUCAAUCGAUUAAUAAAUUGUCAGGUCUACAUCAACAAAUUUGUCUUGACCAUCUUUUCUUUUCUAGUUAACAAUUACAGUUAUACAUUGCUUUUUAUUGCGCUAUAUAUUGCUGUAUAAACAUUGCGUAAUGUAUUGUACAAAACAACAUAACUUUACCAGAAGUAGCUACUGUAUGAUAUUGCUAACUGUUGUCACAUCCGCACCCAAGCACAUCUCCUCAUUACGCAACAUUACAGGAAUUUACGAAGCAACAUGUGACAGAUUCGUGUCCAAGAUCCAACUAUAGGCAGUGUUGCCAAGUCCACAUUUUUUUAAUACCGCAAUUUGGCUUUGAGUAGCAAUUUGGAGAGUUUUUUUUUUUUGUAAAAACCUGGCAACCCUGCCCAUAGGUCCCUGGAGUUCAGUCAUUGAUUAAAUCAUAACUUGCUUAGUUAUUUUCCUUCUAUUGUUAAAUAUGCAUAAACAUCUACAUUCUUUCUUUUUUUUUUUUAAAAAAAGUUGAUUUAUUUCACUAAUUCCAUUCAAAAAGUGAAACUUGUAUAUUAUAUUCAUUCAUUACACACAGACUGAUAUAUUUCAAAUGUUUAUUUCUUUUAAUUUUGAUGAUUAUAACUGACAACUAAGGAAAAUCCCAAAUUCAGUAUCUCAGAAAAUUAGAAUAUUACUUAAGACCAAUACAAAGAAAGGAUUUUUAGAAAUCUUGGCCAACUGAAAAGUAUGAACAUGAAA
ensembl:lncRNA